GUGCUCCCCCGCCAAUUCCUUUAAGUUUCAGCCUUGCGGCCGUACUUCCCAGGUGGCUCGCUUCACGGCUUCCCUACGGCACCAACCACGGUCGCACCGUGGCUGACACCUAGCGAGUAUCGUUUACGGCUAGGACUACCCGGGUAUCUAAUCCGGUUCGUGCCCCUAGCUUUCGUCCCUUGCCGUCAGGACCGUUCUGGUGAGACGCCUUCGCCACUGGUGGUCCUUCAAGGAUUACAAGAUUUCACCCCUACCCCUGAAGUACCUCUCACCUCUCCCGGCCUCGAGCCGAACAGUAUCUCCUGAAAGCCCAACAGUUGAGCUGCUGGAUUUCCCAAGAGACUUAUCCGGCCGGCUACAGACCCUUUAGACCCAAUAAUAGCGGUUACCACUCGAGCCGCCGGUGUUACCGCGGCGGCUGGCACCGGUCUUGCCCGGCCCUUGCUAUGCAAUGCUUUUUAGGCAUUACGACAGCCAAGAUUGUAUCCUGGCACUCGAGGUCCCCUUAUCGCUGUUGCCAGCAUUGUAAAGUUUUCGCGCCUGCUGCACCCCGUAGGGCCUGGAUUCGUGUCUCAGAAUCCAUCUCCGGGCUCUCGCUCUCACGACCCGUACCCGUCGUAGGCUAGUAGGUACAUUACACCCACUACUACCUGAUAGGCCGCAGACCCAUCCUCAGUCGCCGGAGCUUUCGCCCUGAUAGCAUUCCAGCAUACCAGAACUAUCGGGUAUUAUACCCAGUUUCCCGGGUUUAUCCCCGUGCUGAGGGUAGGUUGUCCACGUGUUACUGAGCCGU
rnacentral:rRNA from 1 species